AGUGGCGGACUGGUGAGUAACACGUAGGUGACCUGCCCCAAAGAGGAGAAUAACUUGACGAAAGUGAAGCUAAUACUCCAUGUGGUCAAUCAUUCGGUUGAUUGAUUAAAGCUAAGGCGCUUUGGGAGGGGCUUGCGGCCCAUCAGCUAGUUGGUAGGGUAAAGGCCUACCAAGGCGAAGACGGGUAGCUGGUCUGAGAGGACGAUCAGCCACAAUGGCACUGAAACACGGGCCAUACUCCUACGGGAGGCAGCAGUGAGGAAUAUUGCACAAUCGACGCAAGUCGGAUGCAGCAACGCCGCGUGGACGAUGAAGGCCUUCGGGUUGUAAAGUCCUUUUAAGAGGGACGAGGAAGGACGGUACCUCUUGAAUAAGUCUCGGCUAACUACGUGCCAGCAGCCGCGGUAACACGUAGGAGGCGAGCGUUAUCCGGAUUUAUUGGGCGUAAAGCGCAUGCAGGUGGCUAGGUAAGUCGGGUGUGAAAGCCCCGGACUUAAUCCGGGGAGGUCAUUCGAUACUGCUUGGCUUGAGAGCGGGAGAGGGAAGUGGAAUUCUCGGUGUAGUGGUGAUAUGCGUAGAUAUCGAGAGGAACACCAGUGGCGAAGGCGGCUUCCUGGCCCGUAUCUGACACUAAGAUGCGAAAGCGUGGGUAGCAAACGGACUUAGAUACUCCGGUAGUCCACGCUGUAAACGAUGGGUACUAGGUGUAGGGGGUGUAAAACUCUCUGUGCCAUAGUUAACGCACUAAGUACCCCGCCUGGGGACUACGGUCGCAAGGCUAAAACUCAAAGGAAUUGAACGGGGGCCCGCACAAGCAGCGGAGCGUGUGGUUCAAUUCGAAGAUACACGAAGAACCUUACCUGGGCUUGACAUGUUGGUAGUUAGUGAAGCGAAAGCGGGACGAUCCUUCGGGAAGCCAUCACAGGUGCUGCAUGGCUGUCGUCAGCUCGUGCCGUGAGGUGUUGGGUUAAGUCCUGUAACGAGCGCAACCCUUGCUGCCAGU
rnacentral:rRNA from 1 species